AGGGCACCACCAGGAGUGGAGCCUGCGGCUUAAUUUGACUCAACACGGGAAAUCUCACCAGGCCCGGACACCGGAAGGAUUGACAGAUUGAGAGCUCUUUCUUGAUUCGGUGGGUGGUGGUGCAUGGCCGUUCUUAGUUGGUGGAGCGAUUUGUCUGGUUAAUUCCGAUAACGAACGAGACUCUGGCCUAUUAACUAGACGUUAGAUUCUUUAUGGGUUUGACGAUGCUUCUUAGAGGGACGGGCGGCUUUUAGCCGCACGAGAAUGAGCAAUAACAGGUCUGUGAUGCCCUUAGAUGUUCUGGGCUGCACGCGCGCUACACUGAAGAAAUCAGCGUGUGUUCCCUAUCCGAAAGGAUUGGGAAACCCGUUGAACCUUCUUCGUGAUGGGGAUUGGGGAUUGCAAUUAUUCCCCAUGAACGAGGAAUUCCCAGUAGGCGCGAGUCAUAAGCUUGCGUCGAUUACGUCCCUGCCCUUUGUACACACCGCCCGUCGCUACUACCGAUCGAGUGAUUUAGUG
rnacentral:rRNA from 1 species